rnacentral:rRNA from 1 species
UACGAAGGGGGGCUAGCGUUGUUCGGAAUUACUGGGCGUAAAGCGCGCGCAGGCGGUUCUCCAAGUCAGUGGUGAAAGCCCCGGAGCUCAACUCCGGAACUGCCAUUGAAAACUGUUGAACUUGAGGACGAGAGAGGUGAGUGGAAUUCCCAGUGUAGAGGUGAAAUUCGUAGAUAUUGGGAAGAACACCAGUGGCGAAGGCGGCUCACUGGCUCGUAUCUGACGCUCAGGCGCGAUAGCGUGGGGAUCAAACAGG